rnacentral:rRNA from 1 species
CUACGGGGGGGCAAGCGGUUGUUCGGAAUCACUGGGCGUUAAAGGGCCGGCGUUAUGGGUACGGGGAGGUAAGUCGGGUGUGAAUCCCUCGGCCCAACUGAAGGAACGUGCGCCCGAGACUGCUUCUCUUGAGUCCCGGAGAGGAAGAUGGAAUUCCGGUGUAGCGGUGAAUGUGUAGAGAUCGGGAGAACACCGGUGGCGAAGGCGGGUCUCUGGGCCGAUACUGACGCUGAGGAGCGAAAGCGUGGGGAGCGAACAG